rnacentral:rRNA from 1 species
CGCAUCUGUGCAUGCAGCAUAUCAAUAAGCGGAGGAAAAGAAACUAACAAGGAUUCCCCUAGUAACGGCGAGUGAAGCGGGAAGAGCUCAAAUUUGAAGUCUUAAAGGGUUUCCCUUUACGAAUUGUAGUUUAAAGAAGUGUUUUCUGUUGAGGUUUUGGUAAAAGUUCUUUGGAAUAGGACAUCAUAGAGGGUGAGAAUCCCGUAUUUGACCUUUACUUUCAACUUUGUGAUACACUUUCAAAGAGUCGGAUUGUUUGGGAAUGCAGUCCAAAAUGGGUGGUAAAUUUCAUCUAAAGCUAAAUAUUGGCGAGAGACCGAUAGCGAACAAGUACCGUGAGGGAAAGAUGAAAAGAACUUUGAAAAGAGAGUCAAACUGUACGUGAAAUUGUCAAAAGGGAAGCGUUUGACACCAGUGUUGUUUUUCUGAAAAUCAAUUAAAGAACUGUUUAUGCUAAGCUUGUUUAGACUUUAUCAGCUAAUCUGCUUAGUUUUGAGCUUUUCUUUAAUGCACUUUUCAGUUAACAAGUCAACAUCAAUUUCUUUUGCUGUAAAAAAGCUUGAGGAAGGUGGCUUGAGAUUCGUCUUAAGUGUUUAUAGCCUCUUGCCUAUGCAGUCGGAGAGAUUGAGGUCUGCAGCGUAGAUCCUUCGGGGCUAAAUGCAUUUGUGCUAAGUUAUAACAUUUUAUAGACAACUUGUUGACUAUGAUUUGUCUUGUAGCUUACUCGCUUAUGUUAUUUUACCUACGCUUAGGAUGUUGAAUCUGUGCGAGACUAC